rnacentral:lncRNA from 1 species
CUGCUGCUGCUGGGGGGGCUCUGCGUGGCCGCCUCGCGCCUGCGGCGGGCCAGGACCAGCCUCGUGCUCGGCGCCGGCAUCCUCUUCGUGGCCGCGGGUAUGACCCCCAAAUCCGCCCCAAAAUCCCCGAAAUCUACCCCAAAAACCCCGAAAAUCCAUCCCAAAAUCCAUCCCAAAUCCAUCCCAAAAUCCAUCCUGAAAUCCAUCCAAAAACCCAUCCCAAAAACCCCGAAAUCCAUCCCAAAAUCCAUCCCAAAUCCAUCCCGGCAUCCUCUUCGUGGCCGCGGGUAUGACCCCCAAAUCCGCCCCAAAAUCCCCGAAAUCCACCCCAAAAUCCAUCCCAAAAUCCAUCCCGGCAUCCUCUUCCUGGCCGCGGGUAUGAACCCCAAAUCCGCCCCAAAAUCCAUCCCAAAAUCCCCAAAAUCCACCCCAAAAUCCAUCCCAAAAUCCACCCCAAAAUCCAUCCCAAAAUCCAUCCCAAAUCCAUCCCGGCAUCCUCUUCGUGGCCGCGGGUAUGAACCCCCAAAUCCGCCCCAAAAACCCCGAAAUCCAUCCCAAAAACCCCUAAAAUCCAUCCCAAAAAGCAGCAAAAUCCAUAAAAAAAUCCAUCUCAAAAAUCCAUCCCAAAAUCCAUCCCAAAACCCCAAAAAUCCACCCCAAAAUCCAUCCCUUUUUUUUAAAUUUUCCCCCAUAAAAAUUUUUUUUCCCCCCUAUUUUUUUAAUUUCAAAUUUUUAAUUUUCCCCCCAUUUUUUUUGUAAUUUACCCAAUUUUUUUAAAAUUUCCCCCCAUUUUCCCCCAUAUUUUUUUAAUUGCAAUUUUUUCCCCCCCAUUAACGAAUCAUUUAACCCCUUCGCUGCCAGGCCUGUCCAACAUCGUCGCCGCCAUCCUUU